ACCCCAGGUCAGGCGGGACUA
rnacentral:rRNA from 1 species